UACGGAGGGUGCAAGCGUUAUCCGGAUUCACUGGGUUUAAAGGGUGCGUAGGUGGGUUGAUAAGUCAGUGGUGAAAUCCCCGAGCUUAACUUGGGAACUGCCAUUGAUACUAUUGAUCUUGAAUACCGUGGAGGUCAGCGGAAUAUGUCAUGUAGCGGUGAAAUGCUUAGAUAUGACAUAGAACACCAAUUGCGAAAGGCAGCUCACUACACAAUCAUUGACGCUGAGGCACGAAAGCGUGGGGAUCAAACAGGA
rnacentral:rRNA from 1 species